rnacentral:lncRNA from 1 species
UUCCUAUCAGUUUCUCUUGUUGCAGCAAGGCUACAACACUAAAAGAAGCAAUUAAGUGGAAGAAAAAUGAAUCAACAUAAUGGUGAGCUCCCACUUAAUUUCUUUACCUAGCUUGCUCGUUGUAGGAGGAUUACCGCUAGAAUGGGGCAUUGACAUCAAUACCCACCCUAGCAACACGAAAUAUCAUCCUUCUAGCUCCACUUGACUCAACCAUCACUCUGCCCGCACCAUCGGUAGAAAAGUUAACAACAUCAUCAAAAACCUCAUUCGAUAUGGUGUACACUAGAGAUCCCUUAUUGCAUGGCGAUAUAAUUUGUGGAACCCAACAGUCCACUAACUAAAACUUGGUGUGCACUUACCUUAGUAACAACAAACUCCAUACCCUUACCUAAUAGCUGCCCG